GAUGAAGAACGCAGCGAAAUGCGAUAAGUAGUGUGAAUUGCAGAAUUCAGUGAAUCAUCGAAUCUUUGAAUGCACAUUGCGCCCCUUGGUAUUCCAUGGGGCAUGCCUGUUCGAGCGUCAUUUGUACCUUCAAGCUCUGCUUGGUGUUGGGUGUUUGUCUCGCCUCUGCGUGUAGACUCGCCUCAAAACAAUUGGCAGCCGGCGUAUUGAUUUCGGAGCGCAGUACAUCUCGCGCUUUGCACUCAUAACGACGACGUCCAAAAGUACAUUUUUACACUCUUGACCUCGGAUCAGGUAGGGAUACCCGCUGAACUUAAGCAUAUCAAUAAGCGGAGGA
rnacentral:misc_RNA from 1 species